ACCCCGACUUCUGGAAGGGAUGCAUUUAUUAGAUGAAAGGUCAACGUGGGCUCUGCCCAUUCCUGCAAUGAUUCAUGAUAACUCGAUGGAUCGCAUGGCCAUCGUGCCUAUGAUGCAUCAUUCAAAUUUCUGUACUAUUAAGUUUCGAUGGUAAGUUAGUGGCCUACCAUAGUGGUGACGGGUGAUGGAGAAUUAGGGUUCAAUUUUAGAGAGGAAGCCUGAGAAAUGGCUUCCACAUCCAAGGAAGGCAGCAGGCACGCAAAUUAUCCAAUCCUGACACUUGGAGGUAGUGACAAUAAAUAACAAUACCGGGCUCAAUGGGUCUAGUAAUUGGAAUGACUAAAAUUUAAAUCCCUUACUGUCGAUCCAUUGGAGGGAGAGUCUGGUGCCAGCAGCCGCGGUAACUCCAGCACCAAUAACAUAUAUUUAAGUUGUUACCAAUAGCAUUGGUCAUCUCGUCCCUUCUGUCGGUGAUGCGCUCCUGGCCUUAAUUGUCCGGGUCGUGCCUCCGGUGCUGUUACUUUGAAGAAAUUAGAGUGCUUAAAGCAAGCCUACGCUCUGUAUACAUUAGCAUGCGAUAACAUUAUAUGAUUUCAGUCUUAUUACGUUGGCUUUCAGGAUCAGACUAAUGAUUAACAGGGACAGUCGGGGGCAUUCGUAUUUCAUAGUCAGAGGUGAAAAUAUUGGAUUUAUGAAAUACGAUCAACUGUGAAAGCAUUUUCCAAGGCUGUUUUCAUUAAUCAAGAAUGAAAGUUAGAGGCUCGAAGGCGAUCAGAUACCGUCCUAGUCUCAAUUAUAAAUGAUGUCGACCAGGGAUCGGCGGAUGUUUCUUUUAGGACUUCUCCGGCACCUUAUGAGAAAUCAAAGUUUUUGGAUUCUGGGGGGAGUAUGGUGGCAAGGCUAAAACUUAAAGGAAUUGACAGAAGGGCACCACCGGGAGUGGAGCCUGCGGCUUAAUUUGACUCAACCAGGGGAAACUUACCAGGUCCAGACAUAGUAAGGAUUGAAAGACUGAGAGUUCUUUCUUGAUUCUAUGGGUGGUGUUGCUUGGCCAUUCUUAGUUGGUGGAGCGAUUUUUUUGGUUAAUUCCAUUAACAAACGAGACCUCAGCCUGCUUUCUAGCUAUGAGGAGGUAUUCCUUCGCGGCCAGCUUCUUAGAGGGACUAUGGCCUUUUAGGCCACGGAAGUUUGAUGCAAUAACAGGUCUGUGAUGCCCUUAGAUGUUCAAUGAGUUUAUAGCCUUGGUCGACCGGCCCGGGUAAUCUUUGAAAUUUUAUCAUGAUAGAGAUAUAUCAUUGCAAUUGUUGGUCUUCUAUGAAGAAUUUCUAGUAAGCGCGAGUCAUCAGCUCGCGUUUACUACGUCUCGUCCCUUUGUACACACCACCCGUUGCUCCUACCGAUUGAAUGAUCGGAUNAUAAAAUGUACGGAUCGUAGUAAAGUGGGCGGUUCGCUGCCCGCGACGUCGUCAAAUAUCCAUUGAACCUUAUCAUUUAGAGGAAGGAGAAUUCGUAACAAGGUUUUCGUCGGUGAACCUGCGGAAG
rnacentral:rRNA from 1 species